CAUACUUGCAGUAUAGUAAAUCAAAACGUGGGGAUUGAAAAUCCCCAGUCUCGACAUCCCAGCAUCAAUCCCUAUGACCUCCAGAGCUGACUCCAUCAAAGUGUGCGGAUGCUGUUAGAUCUGCUGAGUUUUUCCAGCAUUUUCUGUUUUUGUUUCAAAAUAGCCAAGGCUGCUUUCAAUGGGACAAAACAAUGGCUUACAAUUUUUGGAUAGUAAAUGAACUUCACUUGCACUGUUAUGCAUUCCAUUGGAGGAAAGUAAAACCUUGUUUGUGGUGA